UGUCAUUUCCAUAUUUCAUUC
rnacentral:piRNA from 1 species